GUGAGCUCCCUCGUUGUUGCACGGGAUGGCAAAGUCCACAUAGUGCAGAGGAGAAUUGUUACAGAGCAAUGCUAGAUGAAGGAGCUGAGGCUGGAGAAGUUAAGAGACCCCUGCUAGAUAGGAAGGCACGUGAGAAGUAUACUGCUCUGUCUCCUGUGGAGUAAAAAGACUUUGGCGUUCUCAGAAGAAAACCAAAUGAGAUCACACGAAUGAGACUGCUGGGGAAGGGGAGAUGGAAGUUGAGUCAUUGGCUAAUAUCAUCAUCAAGAAAUCAAGUCAUCAUUUU
rnacentral:lncRNA from 1 species